rnacentral:rRNA from 1 species
AUGCCAGUGACAAUGAGACAAGCCACGAAGCAACCAAGCCGCGUCACAACUGACGCCGGAGACCUCUACAACAAGACCAAGACUCAUGGACAACACAGACCAACGUACCCCACCCAUUGCGCCAAGAGGAAGUCAGCAAGUGGACGGCAGGGUCUGGGCAGACCUAGAGGAAGCGUCGUCGAGAGAGCUCCGAUGAUGGUGUACAUUGCGCCCCAAAGACCCACGCCCAAAGUAGUAGCAAACACCGACAAGAGCAGUGCCGCCGGGACUCCUCGAGCAACAGAACGGCGCCUCCAAGAAAGGAAUGACGCCAUGAUGCCGCCGCCGCCUGGUCCGGAGGCCGGACCAAGGGUUUCCCCUGAGCACGAGGGAGGGAAAUCGACGAGGACGAGAUCCCGACGGAGGACGAGUUCUCCAUCCUCCUCCUCCUACUCCGAGGACGAGAUUUACACGGACGACGACGAAGACGACGAGGAGGAGGACGACGACGUGGAGGACGUCCGGUCGCCUACCCACCCCCACGAUCUGGACUCUUUUCCCCAGUCGAUCCUUCUCGACGUACAUGCCUACAUCGACGACCGCACCAACGCCACCACCGCCGAUGCCCCCUUCUUCAAGGACCACCGCAUCCGGGUUACCUUCUGGAUCGCCCACCCGCCGCGCGUCUCCCGCCUCACGGUCCACUCCAACGGCGUGGAACCCAGCGAGUUCACCAAUACGCCCAUGGUCGUCGCCGCCCAGGACGACCUGGUCCUCCUCCGCGCCGCCGUUGGCCCUCAGGAACACCUCAGUCCCACCGGUUACAUCAAUCAUUACUAUGUCUACCGGGCCGGCACCAACCCAACUCUUCGCCGGCUCGCCGACGCCAGCUCCUUUGUCUUUGCCGACUGCUCAGCGGGCAUUGUUCGCCGUGGUGACGGCAGCUUUAUCAUCGCCGCCAUCCACUGGGCAGGCGUCCACGGACAGUAUGACCUCCACCAGUUUGACUCCAAGACCUGGACAUGGAGCACCAGGCUGAUGCAUGAGGUUCUCGCGCAUUCUUACAAGCAAGGCUCUCCAGAGCGUUUUCGAGACAUUGCCAUUGUGGAAGGCAAUAUCAACUUCUUUGAGAUGCGAUUGAAGUUCAAACGGCGCCAAGUAGCCUUCAACACCACUUUGACUACCAAAUAUUUUGAAGCCACCAGAUGGAAAAUGAUGGAGCCGUGGCAUAACUGGCAGAAGGAUCGCACACUCGAUAUGUUCAAGAUACCAGUGGACCAGAGUUAUUGUGAAUUGCUUCGUGAUGUACUGGAUGGUCAGUGCACUCGGAUUGCCUUUGAGAAACUCGAAGGAGGUCACCCUGCUCUGAGCUUGCAUGAUGAUGAUGUUGUUUACAUCAUGGCCAAGGCCAAAGAGAUGAACCGCAGGGCAGUUGUGUUUGCUGUGAACAUGAGGAACAAGGUCGUGCAAGGAGUGGCUAAAUUUGAUGGAAAAAGAACAUAUGGCUUCACUCAAACCUACCUUCAAAGUGGGAUCUCCAGCUAUCUGACCGCUGAGUCGUCUGCCAGAGGGAAAGCUAGAGAUGGAAUUCCACAAGGAGGCGAUUGCAUAGCUUUGGAGCCUAUUGAUAACAUGUACAAAGGGAAGGCUGCUGAAUCAAGCAGGGAUCGAAUCACACAAGCAGGUGACAUAUCCAAAAGUAAUGCUGCUGGUCAGGCUGGGUUCGAGUUUCAAGAGGACGCAAGCAGAAAGCUUGACAAACAGUAG